rnacentral:ribozyme from 1 species
CCCAAAGAAAAAGUCGAAAAAACAAAACAAGUCAACCAAAACAAAAAGAGAAUCAAAAGAAGAGAAGAGAUGGGUUAGAAACUUUCCUUACCUUGUCACCCUGCCGCGUUGUGUCCACCAAUCCGACUCCUUUUCUUUUGUAUCCGGGUCCCAACAGAAUCAUAUAUAUAUAUUGCUGUGUGUGAAUUUCAUCAACCAGGAAAGAAAGAUAU